rnacentral:rRNA from 1 species
UUCCAGACUCCUACGGGAGGCAGCAGUGGGGAAUAUUGCACAAUGGGGGAAACCCUGAUGCAGCAACGCCGCGUGAGUGAAGAAGUAUUUCGGUAUGCAAAGCUCUAUCAGCAGGGAAGAAAAUGACGGUACCUGAGUAAGAAGCACCGGCUAAAUACGUGCCAGCAGCCGCGGUAAUACGUAUGGUGCAAGCGUUAUCCGGAUUUACUGGGUGUAAAGGGGGCGCAGACGGCGAUGCAAGCCAGGAGUGAAAGCCCGGGGCCCAACCCCGGGACUGCUCUUGGAACUGCGUGGCUGGAGUGCAGGAGGGGCAGGCGGAAUUCCUGGUGUAGCGGUGAAAUGCGUAGAUAUCAGGAGGAACACCGGUGGCGAAGGCGGCCUGCUGGACUGCAACUGACGUUGAGGCCCGAAAGCGUGGGGAGCAAACAGGAUUAGAUACCCUUGUAGC